UACGGAGGAUGCGAGCGUUAUCCGGAUUUAUUGGGUUUAAAGGGUGCGCAGGCGGAUUUUUAAGUCAGCGGUCAAAUCGUGGGGCUCAACCCCAUCCAGCCGUUGAAACUGGGGAUCUAGAGUGUGCGAGAGGUAUGCGGAAUGCGUGGUGUAGCGGUGAAAUGCAUAGAUAUCACGCAGAACCCCGAUUGCGAAGGCAGCAUACCGGUGCACAACUGACGCUCAGGCAC
rnacentral:rRNA from 1 species